CCCGCCAUUAACCGUCCAUUAGGGAGUCUGAAGUAUUAAAGGAUUGUCCUGAAUUUUCGGGAUUUCGAGUGGCUCCUGUCCACUCUGUUUGACGCCUCCCUGUUACCACCUUUAGAGCCGCCUCUUGCGGCUCUUUUUUU
rnacentral:sRNA from 1 species